UAAUAAGCGGAGGAAAAGAAACUAACAAGGAUUCCCCUAGUAAUGGCGAAUGAAGCGGGAACAGCUCAAAUUUGAAAUCUCCGUCGCCCUGGCCGAAUUGUAGUUUCGAGAAGCGCUUUCUAGGCGGCGCGCCGUCCAAGUUGCUUGGAACAGCACGUCAUAGAGGGUGACAACCCCGUCUGUGGCGGACGGGCCGCCCACGAUGCGCUUUCGA
rnacentral:rRNA from 1 species